rnacentral:rRNA from 1 species
ACACGACUACAUUAGAUACCCGCGUAGUCCUAGCCGUAAACGAUACUCGCUAGGUGUCGGCCACGGUGCGACCGUUGUCGGUGCCGUAGGGAAGCCGUGAAGCGAGCCACCUGGGAAGUACGGCCGCAAGGCUGAAACUUAAAGGAAUUGGCGGGGGAGCACCACAACGGGUGGAGCUUGCGGUUUAAUUGGAUUCAACGCCGGAAAUCUUACCAGGACCGACAGCAACAUGAAGGCCAGGCUGAAGACUUUGCCGGAUUAGCUG